UCUCCGUUGGUGAACCAACGGAGGGAUCAUUACCGAGUUUACAACUCCCAAACCCCAUGUGAACCUUACCAAACGUUGCUUCGGCGGGAUGCCCCGGGCGCGGGCCGCAAGGCCUCAGCCCCGGAACCAGGCGCCCGCCGGAGGCCCAAACCAAACUCUUGUUUUUGUAGAAUCUUCUGAGUGGCCUUUUAGGCAAAAAAUGAAUCAAAACUUUCAACAACGGAUCUCUUGGUUCUG
rnacentral:misc_RNA from 1 species